CUCUCUCUCGUGCCAAAACCCUAGCCGUAGUCUCAUCACUUUGUCGCUCCGUCGUCGACUUCUACAACCCAAGGUUAGUUUUUCUCUAUGUCACAUACACACUCUCCCUCUCUCUCUCCUUCUCUCUCUCUCUCUCUCUCUCUAAAAAAAUACUGAUAAGCUGUCUAUUGCCACAGUUUAAAUAUAUGAUGGUGGUGUGCAAAAUACAGCAUCAAG